GACGAACGCUGGCGGCGUGCCUAACACAUGCAAGUCGAACGGGGUAAUUUCCUUCGGGAGGUUACUUAGUGGCGAACGGGUGAGUAACGCGUGAGAAACCUACCUUUCAGUGGGGGACAACAGUUGGAAACGACUGCUAAUACCGCAUAAUGUACACGGACCGCAUGAUCUGUGUACCAAAGCUUUAUGUGCUGAAAGAUGGUCUCGCGUCUGAUUAGCUAGAUGGCGGGGUAACGGCCCACCAUGGCGACGAUCAGUAGCCGGUCUGAGAGGAUGAACGGCCACAUUGGGACUGAGAUACGGCCCAGACUCCUACGGGAGGCAGCAGUGGGGAAUAUUGGGCAAUGGGGGAAACCCUGACCCAGCAACGCCGCGUGAAGGAAGAAGGCCUUCGGGUUGUAAACUUCUUUUAGCAGGGACGAAGAACGUGACGGUACCUGCAGAAAAAGCAACGGCUAACUACGUGCCAGCCGCCGCAGUAAUAC
rnacentral:rRNA from 1 species